AAGGAUUGAACAAAAGCAUUUGGGAUCCUGGUGAUCAAAUGUGUCUUGGUCUUUCCUACAGAGCUUAUGGACAUGUGGCUGUUACUGGGCGAGCACAGACAGACCACUGCAGACUGUUCGGACAGGAGGCGAGCAUGGGUCAGCAGCUCCCUGCCAAGGCUUUACAAGAAAGGCAGAAAGGGAUGGCAGAGCUUCGGAGCACGGCUGGACCCACAGAAACGACACGCCGCCGAGCUGAGAGCCCUAUAGGUGCCGUUUGCCUCGACAAAUAAAGGGAAAUAACACCCUCUGUGUCCUUGGACCUCCCGUGUCCCUGCAAAACCCAAGGAUGGAGCUACCCGAGGGAAGCAAGCUGCCGAUGAAUUGCUGAUAAAACACCAGGUACGAGGUUGGAGAAGAGUCACAGAGAAGGGAAAUAAGGAUUGGGGGAGGAGUGGAGAGAUAGAAGUUACAGGGUCAUGAUGUUCUCAGGUUGCGAGACAGUGUUCCUAUGUGCCACGGCCAGAUAAAUAGUAAUGCAUUAGUUUUAAAAUGCUGCUCUGAAAUGUCACCUUCAUCUCCAUUGAUCUCUCUUACCAAACAGGUCCUUCACUGUCACUUGUGACAAAAGGCAUUAGUCAAUGAAAAGCUCUAAAUAAACUUCAGGAAGACAAGGAAGCUCUUCUUUCG
rnacentral:lncRNA from 1 species